rfam:Ovis aries breed Texel chromosome 4, whole genome shotgun sequence.
CCUGGUGGCUCAGAGGUUAAAGCAUCUGCCUGCAAUGCUGGAGACCUGGGUUCGAUCCCUGGGUCAGGA